CGACGACUCUGCCCUCCUCAGCGUGACAGUAGCAGCAGUGCAGCAGGUUCUAUUUUCUAAAUUUUGUUUGUGGUUUCUGUUUUUUGUUGGAUUCAUGUCCAAAUAGAUAGAAAUCUUAGUUUUGCUGCUAAUUCUGCACUAUAGCUUUUGUGAUAUCAAAUUAGUGAUUGUGACAGAAAGCAUAUGUUAGUGAUUGUUAGUGAUUGUUGUUUGUGUUUUGAAGUUAGCAUUAUAGCUAAUUCUGCACUAUAGCUUUUGUGACAGAAAGCAUAUGUUAGUGAUUGUUUGUGUUUUGAAGUUAGCAUUAUUUGUUGCUGUCUGCUGAACUUCAUUGAACUUCAUUGUUGUUGUUGGUUGUGUGCAGUCCUUAACUUCAUUUAGAACAUAUAAAUGUGUCAAUUGCUCUAAAUCAAUCUAAUAAGGGUAACUCUUUCAGUUCUUGCUAUAAAUGUGUCAAUUGCUCUAAAUCAAUCUAAUAAUGCUAACUUCAUUGAAGUUAGCAUUAUUUGUGUUCUUGCUGUUGUUGGUUGUCUGCACUAUAACUCUUGCAGUUCUUACAAUUUAUGAAAUGAAAUGAACUGUGAAUUUAUCCUCAACAGUUUGCUUGUGUUUUUCAAGAUCGAUUCAGCAGUUUAUAAUUAUGUAUUCACUCUCUUGGAAAUUUGAAUAUCCUUGUGUAUUGAAUUAUGAUAUGAUAUGUUAACUUUGCAGAAUAUGUAUGGCUGAAGUUUGAUCAUGGUUGGUAUUGUCGUGUUGGUACUGGAGAGACGACUUGGUGUUGCCGAUUCGGAAGCUGCAAAUUUAUAUUUUUAUGUUGUAUUUCAUUUAAGACUUGUUACUUUUCGAAUUUUUGAUGCCUUUAAACUAUUUGAAAGUGCAUUUUUAUGCUUUCGAUGUUUUUGGAUAUCUAAGAUUUGUUAUAAUUGAUUUGGAGAAAGACUUUUGGUGAUGAAA
rnacentral:lncRNA from 1 species